rfam:Picea glauca, whole genome shotgun sequence.
UCUUAUGUAUAUGCCUACAACGUUAAUGCAUCGGAUCCCAACAUAACUUUGUAGUUAAGCAUGCUUGGGCUAGACUAGUAUUGGGAUGGGUGACCUCUUGGGAAGUCCUAGUGUUUCACAUGCC